CUAAUUUUUGUAUUUUUUAGUAGAGAUGGGGUUUCACCAUAUUGGUUAGGCCAGUCUCGAACUCCUGACCUCAAAUGAUCCCACCUGCCUCAGCCUCCCAAAGUACUGGGAUUGCAGGCAUGAGCCACUGCACCUGUCCCAAAAACACAUUUCUAAUGUCAACCUAAAAAUCAUCAAAAGGUUCGAUAUCCAGUUAAAAGAAUUUAUUCAAGCAUAAAGUGUGAGGGCAGCCAUCCAGGGAAACACAGACACCAAGCAGUGGCAAUUAGUGUUCUCCAGCAUGGGGAAAGAUGAAGGUUGUUUAUAUAGGCCGGGCGCCUGUAAUUGUUUAUACGCCUGUAAUCCCUGCACUUUGGGAGGCCAAGGGCGGUGGAUCACAAGGUCAGGAGUUCGAGACCAGCCUGGCCAACAUGGUGAAACUCUGUCUCUACUAAAAAUACAAAAAUUAGCUGGACGUGGUGGCGGGCGCCUGUAGUCCCAGCUAUUCGGGAGGCUGAGGCAGGAGAAUUGCUUGAACCUGGGAGGCGGAGGUUGCAGUGAGCCGACAUCGUGCCCAGGCUGCAGUGCAGUGGCCGUGAGCUGAGACUGUGCCAUUGCAGUCCAGCCUGGGUGACAGAGCAAGACUCCACCUCAAAACCAAGAGAAAGAAAUGUGUUUUUGUUUGUUGGUUUUUUUUUGAGACAGGGGCCCAGGUUGGAGUGCAGUGGCGUGAUCAAGGUUCACUGCAGCCUCUACCUCCCAGGCUCAGGUGAUCCUCCCAUCUCAGCCUCCUGAGUAGCUGGGACUACAGGAGCAUGCCACCACACCUGGCUCUUUUUUUUUUGGUAGAGAUAAGUUUCGCCAUGUUCCCAGGCUGGUCUCGCAUUCCUAGGCUCAAGCGAUCCGCCCACCUUGGCCUCCCCAAUGUUGGGAUUACAGGCGUGAAACACUGCGCCCUGCCAAGAAACAUGUUUCAAUAAAAUUGUUAGGAAAUCAAGUGUGUGAUUUGUGAUGCAACUCUCUCCUCUAUCUCCCUAAGAAAACAUCAGUAAAAACAGUGAACUGUUUUGUAUUUUUGGAGUCUGAUCAGGACUCAUCUUAUGAAUGUG
rnacentral:lncRNA from 1 species